UUAAAAUAUAAAUAAAAAUAUUAGAUUAGUAAUAGGUAUGUUCUUUAAACUUAAAAAAUUUGGCGGUAUUUUAAUCUAAUCAGAGGAACUUGUUUUAUAAUUGAUAAUCCCCGUUUUAUCUUACUUAAUUUAAUUAAAUUUAUAUAUCGUUGUCAUAAGAAUAUCUUAAAAAAGAAAAAAUUUUCUAAUUUAAUAAUUAUUUAAAAUGUCAGAUCAAGGUGUAGUUUAUAAUUAAGAAAAAAUGAGUUACAAUAAAUUUAUUUAUUAUGAAUUAUAAAGUUAAAUAUUUAUAUGAAGGUGGAUUUGACAGUAAAUUUUUUUUAAUUGAAAGAUUGAUUUUAGUUCUAAAAUAUGC
rnacentral:rRNA from 1 species